rnacentral:rRNA from 1 species
AUGCAGGGAACUAUGUAAAUAGCUUGCUAUGAGCGAAGUAUCCUGAUAUCUUAGUGGCGGACGGGUGAGUAACGCGUGGGUAACCUGCCAUAUACAGGGGGAUAACAGCGAGAAAUUGCUGCUAAAACCGCAUAAGCGCACGGAGUCGCAUGACUCAGUGUGAAAAACUCCGGUGGUAUAUGAUGGACCCGCGUCUGAUUAGCCAGUUGGCAGGGUAACGGCCUACCAAAGCGACGAUCAGUAGCCGGCCUGAGAGGGUGGACGGCCACAUUGGGACUGAGACACGGCCCAAACUCCUACGGGAGGCAGCAGUGGGGAAUAUUGCACAAUGGGGGAAACCCUGAUGCAGCGACGCCGCGUGAGUGAAGAAGUAAUUCGUUAUGUAAAGCUCUAUCAGCAGGGAAGAAAAGAGACGGUACCUGACUAAGAAGCCCCGGCUAACUACGUGCCAGCAGCCGCGGUAAUACGUAGGGGGCAAGCGUUAUCCGGAUUUACUGGGUGUAAAGGGAGCGCAGACGGCACAGCAAGUCUGGAGUGAAAGCCCGCGGCUCAACCGCGGGACUGCUCUGGAAACUGUUGAGCUUGAGUGCAGGAGAGGCAGGCGGAAUUCCUAGUGUAGCGGUGAAAUGCGUAGAUAUUAGGAGGAACACCAGUGGCGAAGGCGGCCUGCUGGACUGUAACUGACGUUGAGGCUCGAAAGCGUGGGGAG